GCAUCGAUGAAGAACGCAGUAAAGUGCGAAAAGGGGUGCGAUAAGCAUGAUCUGUGAGUUCAUUGAAUAUUCGAACGCAAAUGGCGCUGUUAGGACGACUGGCAGCAUAAGCGGAUGAGUGCAGGGAUUGAAUGAAUGUGUGUCUAGCUAGCUUUGGCUAGAUAUAUGAUAUGGCUAUUUUAGCGGAUGCUAAUUGGCCUGAAUGGAUAUGGAUUGCUAUGUGGCAAUGAGGGAGAAGACCGUGGUCUUGUGUUCAUUGUGAUGUAGCACACGUGUCUUGUACUGAUCAAGACAUCAAGCAACUAGCCUCAUCUGCUUAAGAGUACCCGCUGAACUUAAGCAUAUCAAUAAGCGGAGGA
rnacentral:rRNA from 1 species